rnacentral:rRNA from 1 species
AUUGAACGCUGGCGGCAGGCCUAACACAUGCAAGUCGAGCGAGCGGCGGACGGGUGAGUAGUGUCUGGGAAACUGCCUGAUGGAGGGGGAUAACUACUGGAAACGGUGGCUAAUAGCGCAUACCAUCAGAUGUGCCCAGGUGGGAUUAGCUAGUAGGUGGGGAAAAGGCUCACCAAGGCGACGAUCCAUAUCUGGCCUGAGAGGCUGACCAGCCACACUGGAACUGAGACACGGUCCAGACUCCUACGGGAGGCAGCAGUGGGGAAUAUUGCACAAUGGGCGAAAGCCUGAUGCAGCCAUGCCGCGUGUAUGAAGAAGGCCUUCGGGUUGUAAAGCACUUUCAGCGGGGAGGCGUUACCUGCCGAAGAAGCACCGGCUAACUCCGUGCCAGCAGCCGCGGUAAUAC